rnacentral:tRNA from 1 species
GGAGAAGGAUGGGGCCCGGUGGUCCUCCCGGUCUUCAAAACCGCGUGGUCCUGCGUAAGCGGGACGGAAGGUUCGACUCCUUCCCUUCUCC